rnacentral:rRNA from 1 species
UACGGAGAGUGCGAACGUUGUUCGGAUUCACUGGGCGUAAAGGGCACGUAGGCGGCUUGGCAAAUCGGUCGUGGAAUCCCGACGCUUACCGUCGGAACGGCGGCCGAAAAUACCGAGCUCGAGGGCGUGAGGGGUCACUGGAACUCCUGGUGAAGCGGUGAAAUGCGUAGAUAUCAGGAGGAACGCCGGAGGCGAAAGCGAGUGACUGGCGCGUUCCUGACGCUGAGGUGCGAAAGCUAGGGGAGCAAACGGG